GAGACCAACCACCAAUAAGAAAAUGGAUGAAGCGAUUAAAGUGGUGAUUGUGGAUGAGCACAUGGAGAGAUAUGUGUUGAUGUAUGCCCGUUGCUUCUCAUCUCCAUCGAGGACGUACGCGUUGAAACUGGGCCAGUAAACCCACAGGAUCAUCGUUCCCAAAAACGAAAAGUGGUCGGACAUGACUGAACUCGUUUGUCUAUGCAAAGAGGCCUUCACAUCUUGAUUCCGGAGCGCAAAACUUAUUCCCAAUCCAAAAUAAGCACCAAAGGCGUGAAUGAAGAUGGUUCCACCUACCUCACAACGAAAGAGUAACAAAGAAAGAAUGGGAGAGCAAUGAAACCAAUAUACCCAACAAUGCACUUAGGACGUUAUUGACGUUGAAGGAUGAAGUUACCUGCAUCAAGGGCAGUAAGGAGUGAAUAUCCGAUAUGCAAAUUUGCCAAAUAGAGUGGCGUUUCAAGAAUAACCAUAACCAAACAUUGAAGUGGAGAUAUUUUUCCAAUGACUGCCCCGAACGAGAUCAAAACGGUCGCAGAAGCCAAAGAUCCGUCAACCACACUAAAAUAUGUGGAAAUACACACGUGUUAUCCUUGGUUCGUCUAACAAACCAACCAGCCAUAUUCUUUUUCCACCUCAAUCGUUAAUUGGAAGACUUCUUCUUUCUUACUCUGACCACGCAAUCCCAAAAGUGGUUUGUUGUUCGUUGAGUCUGGUCAGGCCUAAAAGAAGAAUGAACCAUUCGACGGAUGUCACAAUUAUGGUCAUGGUCAGAACCAAGGCAGAAUAGCCGGAAUGCUUCAGGAAUGUCAUGAGGAAUCCAAAUCCCACGAAGAGCAUCAUUUGAAUAUCCAUGGCCACUGAAAGAACAAGCGAUACCAAACUGACAUACUGACCGAGAUCGAUGACCGAAAGCAAUGGACAAGAACAGUGGCAACUGGUUUACUCGGAUAUUGUUGAUCGAGUUCACUCAGUUUAGCUGUCUCAGAUGUUCCUGGUUGGGCAGAUUCCGGGUCAUAUUCGGCCAAAAAAGCGAAUCCCAAGACUAUCACGAUCUGGAACAAUGACAAGAGACAAGCGAAUCUCUUUUGGGAUCCGUUUUGGACCGUCAUAUUGGAACUGAUGACUUCAACUGAGACCAAGGAGGAAAGCAACGGUUUCCCUUUAUCCGCUUUAUCAUUGAUUCAUCUUGUUUUUUUUUUUGAUCUAGGACAUUAUUCAAGGUUCUCCAGACCAAGAAAAACAUCUUUCACCCUCUGUCGCUACAUAAACUGUUGUACUGUACUUAACCAAAGUAAUGGUGGCAUGUUUGCAAUUUAUAUCUCAGAGUUCAUCCAUUUUCCACUUGGGUACACGUGCUCACAGUAGGAGGAGGAAACCGAAUUCCAAAGCCAUAAAUGGUUGGUCAUCCACGAGUACGUCUUCGUACCUACAAACUCAUCAGCAAAAAGUGAUAUGGAAAUCGUCCAGACUUUUGUUUGCUUCUUUGUUGGUCGUGGAUUGUCAAUUUCGUCAACAUUUUGGAAGAUAGACAUUCCUCAUUUUUGGUGAUGAGGAAGUCAGGAACGAUUAUUGGUUGAUCGGUUUGACGAUGACUUCUGCUUAAUUAAUCCAACCAUAGCAUGUGACCAAAUAUGGGCGAGAUUCAAUGGAUUUUGUUGGCAGGGCUCCAUCCUCCGUCCAACAUGGAAAUAUGAGUUCCUUAAUGUAAAGAAUAAAUUCCGCAAGACGCAUCUUAUGCCAGGAUCUUGAAUACUGUUCAAUGCCCGAUACACAUAUUCAAAGUCCUCCGUGGUUUGACGAGCAAGGUCUUUGACCGGCUGGGUAAACGUAUAACAUGACAUCAUCCAGAGCAAAACAUGGACGUCUCGAGAGUCCAAGAUGAGAGAGCCAAGGGCUAGCUUGCAUGAUGAGGCUUUUUCAUUUGGGUCCAAUGUGGAAAAACUCGUCCUAUUCGAAACUAUGCCCAUUCCCGCCCUCAGUGGCCAUCUAAUGCACGAGUUGCAUAUGGCCUAGACCCCAAAACCAUCAUUUGUUAUCUGUCAGGCCCAUGAAAUGCAUUC